UACGUAGGGUGCAAGCGUUUGUCCGGAAUCAUUGGGCGUAAAGCGUCCGCAGGCGGCUUUUUUAAGUCUGUUGUCAAAGCCCACAGCUCAACUGUGGAUCGGCAAUGGAAACUGGGAGCUAGAGUGUGGUAGGGGUAGAGGGAAUUCCCGGUGUAGCGGUGAAAUGCGUAGAUAUCGGGAAGAACACCAGUGGCGAAGGCGCUCUACUGGGCCACAACUGACGCUGAGGGACGAAAGCUAGGGGGAGCGAAAGGG
rnacentral:rRNA from 1 species